rnacentral:rRNA from 1 species
UACGUAGGGGGCUAGCGUUAUCUGGAAUUACUGGGCGUAAAGGGUGCGUAGGUGGUUUCUUAAGUCAGAGGUGAAAGGCUACGGCUCAACCGUAGUAAGCCUUUGAAACUGGGGAACUUGAGUGCAGGAGAGGAGAGUGGAAUUCCUAGUGUAGCGGUGAAAUGCGUAGAUAUUAGGAGGAACACCAGUUGCGGAGGCGGCUCUCUGGACUGUAACUGACACUGAGGCACGAAAGCGUGGGGAGCAAACAGG